AGUCGAAUCCCUCUUCCCGCUGUAAGUACUAUCAGAUACCUUGUUCCAUUUCAACCAAUAAUGUCUCCAUUGGUAUGUAUUGUUUUUUAAAUGCUUCCUUAACAGGAAAGUUGGCUCUCUCUUGCUCUUUUUCUUUCCCUCUAUUUUGGCUCCUUUUUCUUUUCCUUUCUUUCUGGAUGUCAUGGAAGCUGCCUCGCUUUUAACUGAUAACUUUUGCGUCUAAAAUCUACAACUUAAGCACGUCUUACAAUCUCAAGUUAAGGUAACAUAUUGAUGCAAAUAUUUGAUUGAAAAAUGAAAUGACUAAAUUCUUCAAAUUUUUUACUCCAAAUUUUAAUGCAUGACUUGAGGGAGGCUAUUAAUAUCUUAAGUUUGAAAGUAAUUUAGAAAGAAUGUGUCACUCAUCUUGUAGGAGGUAUCUGCUUUAUUGAUUUUUCAUGAAUACCUAUGUGCAUGAGCAUUUGAGUCUGUUUAUACUGAAGGUGCAUAGAAAUAUGGGUCAUAAAAUUGCUGCUUAUGCAGACUUGCUCGUAUAUCUCAGCUGCAUAUACCUGUUGCGGUUGGAUAUUGGUGAAGUUGAAGUACUGUCUAAUUUCUAACGGUUAAAUUUCUCCAAAUGUGAUAGGCUGAGUUUUCACUUUGAUUUAUUGGGUUUAUGGCACAGGCGUCCUUUUUUACCUAAUUAUAGAUUUGAUAUUAUGAGAACAUUACCAUGUACUAGACAGAGGCAGCAUAUACUUUUAGAAUCCUUCAUUCAUAGAUGCAGAUAAUUUUUCACUUCUUCCUAGGGGUGAGCACUAUUUGGUUUA
rnacentral:misc_RNA from 1 species